UUCCAAGCUUAACAGUACCAAGAGAUUGUUGAAGCUUCAAGUUUUUCUUCCCCCGUAUCAAGCACAUUAUCAGUUCCAAGAACGCCCACCUCCAAAACCUCUCCCACGAUCUCGGAAACUUCCAUGACCUAUUAAUAAUACAGGAAGAAACUAUUUGAAGCAGACUUGAGAUCCAUUAAAAUUUAAAAGUUUCUUUUAAGCAUAUUUUUGCUUCUAAAUAUGGUUACUUUUGAAGUAGCUCUAUCGAUAUGAAUUACUGAUAUUCAAAAUUGACCAAUUAAAAUUUUAUUAAUUGUCAAGCUUACACAAUAGCUUAUUUAUUUUUCCAAACACGUUCUCACAAAAAGAUAGAAGAAUGUGUAUAUGCGUGUAAGGUUUACCUGGAGGAGGAGGUGCCCCACGUCCCAUGGCUGCAAGCUCAGGACUGACCUUCUGUCCAGCCUCCUCGAGGAUGCUAAUGAGUUCCUUUGCAAAUCGGGCAUUUGCAACUGUGAAAAAAGUGUAUGCUGUUCCUUUGGCACCAGCCCUUCCUGUUCGACCAAUACGAUGAACAUAAUCCUCGAGAGAUCCCGGGAAGUCAUAGUUGAUGACAUAUUUCACAUCCUUCACAUCUGCCAAGUUCAAAAACAAACUAUAUGGAAUAAAAUACUUCCUCCUGUAGUACUCCAGUUUCAAAUUUAUGUCGGUCAAGCCUUUUUUACCAAAUCUCAGAAUCAAAUUCUCCAUACAAACCUUAAAAUUCACAUUUGGCCAGUUUGAAACUAAGGUAGAAUUACACCACAGAACAAUUCGAGACACAAUGUGACUGCACAAGAGCAUCUGAUACCAUAGUAGUGCAAUCUUCCGAGAGACAGCAAAUGGGAAAAAAAAAUAACAAUGGCAGAGGAACUUUAGCUAAUGAUGCUAAGCAUCAACAGAGCAUAUCUUGCCCACUCAAUUAACAUUGAAAUACUUAUAACACCACCCAUUCAUCAUCUAAACGGUGGAAAUUUGAGUGGGUCGCAGCACAAAAAAAUGUUAUUAAGAAAAGGCAAAAUGGAGAAGAAAAAAGUUACUAGUUGCGUAACUUCUAAUUUUUAAGAGUCGGAUAAGACUUGUUUGGACUGUGCUACAUGCAGGAAAAGAAACCCCAUCAGGAAACUUUAAAUUAUAUUACUCCAUAUAAUGUUUCCCCUCUUUAGGGAAAGAGUAUCCAUAAUGGAAAGGAACAAUAGAAAGAUGAGACACUGAAAAUUAUGUUUUCUAGGGGGGAUUCUGUGGAAAUCAAUCUAAAAAUUCUAGGGUUUUUUGAGCCCCAUUUUUUGGGAAAAUAAAUUGUUAUAGUGAUUUUUUAAGAAUGUGUGGUUAAAAAGUAGGAAAAAAAUUGAAUUUACGUGUAGAAUUAUUUUAUCGGGAGAAUUGUGUGGUUGAAAAUGAGUUGGGGGAAGAAUGGGGCUCAAACCGGGGCUUAAAUUUACCAGGGAAGAAAUUAUCUAAUCUAGUACUACCUAGAUCUGUAUAUAUAUUUAACAGACAUGAAGCCAACAAAUAUUUAAAAAAAGAAGCCACUAAAGAUCAUGUAACCUUUACUUUGAGAGGCAUAGACAUACCUAGACCUCUAGCUGCAACGUCAGUUGCCGUCAUUAUGGGACUCUUGCCAGCCUUAAAUUCUGAGAGGACCCAAUCCCUUUCUGCUUGACUUUUGUCUCCAUGAAUAGAUAAUGCAGGCCAACCAUCCAUACGGAGCUGCCUAGUUACUUGAUCACAGCCCUUUUUGGUGUCCAUGAAUAUCAAAAUCCGGCUACCGUCCAUAAUGUCCUCCAACAACUUCACUAAUCUGUAUUUUUAAACAAAAUCAAUUUGAACUAUGAAUCCAACAUACAGGAUACAAAUAUUAAAGACUUCUUCCUAAAGUAUAGAAGUGCAACCAGAAAAGAGGCGUUGGCCUACUUAUUAUAUUUUUGGUUCUCAGAAACAAUUUCAACAAGCUGGCGAAUUGCAUGAUUGGCUUUUAAAUCUUCAGAACCAAUGAUCACCUGUCCCAAAAAAAUAACAUAGAAAACGAAAAUCAUCCAUAACAUAUUACUCGGUAACUUGAGAAAUUGCAUAGCAGAAAUGUUUAAAUGAGCCAACAAGCAAGGCUCAACAAUAUCAAACUCAUCUAGAUAUAUAAAAGACCAUCAGACAUUGCUUAGAGCUUCACUACAUUAUACUUCCAGCUGAGCUCAGGUUCUUCAUAGCCAAAUCUGAGCCAAGCUAGAACAAGCUGACUGAUUUACGAAUUACUCAUAUUAAAAACAUUUUUGCAUUGCUUCUUUACUUGGAGUAAAUGAUUUUUCUACUCUGCUUCGGGAAUAUCUGCAGAUGCAAAGUCGAUUUGUUGGUGUAAGAGAGGUGAGGUAUAUAUUAUACAGUUUGAUGGCUUUAGUUUUGGCAAGAGGGCUGCAUGAUUAGCAUGGAGGAGGCCGAGUGGAGAGAAGUUCAUAGCGAAAAUGGCAGGAGUACAAUGUCUUGAGGAUAUGCAAGUUUUGUUGCUUGAAGGAAUCAAAGGCUAGACUUCAACACCUGUUUUGUUGCCCAAUCUGGGAUUGUUUACACAGAUAUUCUAUUAAAGGGCAAAAACAUCCAACUCAACGGUAAUUCAAACACUAGGUUUAUGAAAUGGCAAUUUAUUCUUAAUACUAGUGUUGAACUUUGCUAAAACAAUGUGAUGCCAUUCCUGCACUGCCGAUGACUCCCUAACAACUCCAUCUAAUUUACCCAACUCCUUUCGAUCUUUUAGGAUCUGAAAGCUUAUUAUAAGCCACGAAAGGCGACUAUCUGUUUUGGGUCUCAAAACAGCUUAUAGCUUUAAAAGAAAAGGCUAGCUUCAGCUAUUUUAGGCAGUACAAAAUUGGACUAACUAGCUUAGCAAGUAGAUCUGUAAAAGUUAGAUAGCUUUAUAAUUUGUUGUGCGCGUGUGUGGGCGCGCUCAUACAUAUAACAGCAUUGCAUUCUAGUAGUCAAGCAAUAAUUAUCCAUGUCAUAUGUUACAGGGGAAGGUCAUAACUUCGUCCACGGCACAAGAAAGUCCACUUACUUUGUACGGAUUAAAAAGGAAUAGACGGGCAAGAUGUUCAACUUCCUUGGGCCAUGUGGCACUCCAAUAUAAUGUUUGGCGAUCUGGGCGAAUCUGCAGAAAUCAUGGAGCUAAAAAUCAGUUGAACACAUUAGCAUCAGGUCAUCAACAAAAUGAUGGAACAGAAAAAUAAAGAGGAAUGUGAAUUUCCACAUUAUGCUGCAUCAAUAUUCAAACAGGCAGCUUCCUAAACCAGUUCUGUGUGAAAUUCAGUACAAACCCAGCACAAAUGACGUUUCAGAAAAACCUAAUGCAGCCAAAUGGACAACAUAAUACGAUUCUCUCUGAAUUGUUCCUAACUUAAAUUAUCCAUCUUUCUUUCUGAUAAAUAAAAGGUUGUCUCAAAGUAGCUAAAUAAUCAAAUUUUUAGAGUAAGAAAUUGACAAUCAAAGAAUUAAUCAGAACGAUUAUACAAGUGAGAGAUACAACAAUGAUGCAUAAAUCAGAUAUCUUCUUAUCUGGAUCUCAUUUUAGUACCGUAUAUCUUAGUACUGAAGAAAGCAUAAAAAAAAACAUAUAUAUUCAUUAAUGCUCAAGAGCAUCGGUCUAGAACAGACCUGAUUAAUAAUUUUUCGAAUCUGAGGUUCAAAACCCAUAUCUAGCAUCCGAUCCGCCUCAUCCAACACAAGAUAUGUAACCCUUCGCAGGUUUGUAUGAUGAGACUCCAACAUAUCAAUCAGCCUCCCAGGUGUUGCAAUGACAACUUCGACACCUAGUUGGGAACCAAGAUGAUAAUGACUAAAAUGAUAACAGGAAUUACAUUUAAGAAAACAAGUAAAAGAGAAGUAGCAGAAGGAGAUACCCGAUUCAUGAACAUCACGAUACAGUAGUAAAGUCACGUUGAGCUUAUCACCACCUACCUUUCUGGAGAUCACGAACUUGGGGUCCUUUUGGGACCCCACCAUAUAUGCACGUGUUCUUAAUCCUUGACGAUGCACCAAAUUUAGUAGCUUCUUGCUGAAUCUGAACAGCAAGUUCACGAGUUGGGGCUAAAACUAAAACUAUUGGACCAUCUCCCGGAGCUAACAAAGAACACAUAAGAUUUCAUAAAUACUAUGCUAUCCAAGGGCUGAGAAAUGGUUAAAAAUAAAAAUAUAUAUUCAAAUCCACAUACACAAGCAUAAGAACAAAUAUCAUGACAUUACUGAACCCAUAAUACCUAAAAAUGGUUGAGCAUUAACAUGGACAAUUGCAGGUAAGAGAUAGGCAAGUGUCUUCCCUGACCCCGUUUCUGCAAUACCAAUAAGAUCACGGCCUUUCAAAGCCAUGGGCCAACCUUGAGCUUGAAUGGGUGUAGGUUCAGUAAAACCAGCUUUUACAAUUUCUUGCAUGACAUAAUCUGAAUUGACAACACUGAAGAGCUUUAAGAACCAAACUAAGAUGAAAAACCAAAACAACAAAUGUCAUCCAAUACGAAAUAAGAGUUUCUCGCAAAAUAAAUAAACUAACUGUUUGUAAAUGAGAGUAACUCCACGAAGAUCGACAAGGCGAGGGAAAAAAAAGGAUUAUCCAGCGAACACCAAAAGUUCAUUUUGCAUAUAUUUUCCUACCAAAAGAUCUUGACGGAGAGAGGCUUUUGAGCAUUGAUCUGAUGUGAAGUUUUAUAAAAAGAACUUGUUCAGACCACAAAAUUUAUAGCAGUUUCACUUUAUAGAUGCCUAGAAAAUAUUAAGUAAGAACAUUCUCGUGCAUGCACUGCAGCUUCACGAUUGACAUUGGCCCCCAAUAAACCAAGCAUAGGCCAAAGUUACUAUGCACAAACCCACCAGUUGAUUAUAUCUGUUCAAACAGAUCGGUGAAAAAUAAAUAAGUCAAGCAUGCUCAAAGAGAAAAUAGCAUUUCCCAUUUUGUCAUAUGUAUGGAGUAAACAUAACUUAAUGGAAACAAUGUUUGCUCAGGAAGCGGAAUCCUAAUAUAAGCUACCUCCAUUUUAAAUUCAAUAAGGUACAAAUUCAUCAGUAGGGGUUCCUUGUUAGACUUAGGUAAAUUCCAUUUUCUUAUAUGAAACUUGCUUUCUCACAGUUCCAGUCAAUAUUGCACUAGCCUAAUUGAAGCUUUGCAACAACUUUUCUUAUAUUUUGCCUUUCAUUUCUGAAGUCAUGACCUUGCUAUAGUUCAUAUAUUUUCAGUACAUAUGAAGUCAGACAGUCCGCGGAGACCCCUGAAAAGUAGUGAACAGAUAUACAUGCGCAUCCUAUCUUUAGCGUAAAUAAUUUUGAAGAAACAAACUGUUAUAGAUAAAACAAUUAGUCAACCUGUCUGAAAAUGGAUAGAGUUCAAUUUUAUCAGUAGAAAUAUAUAUAAUACAAGACAAUCUCAUUUGCAUACAAUACCAAUUAUCCACACAUUCACAAUUUUAUGCGGGAAAAGGAAACUCCGCCAGGUUAUACCUGGAAACCCAACAUCCUGAAAAGCCUUCACUGGCUUGGGUACGUCCUUUCCUUCGACAGUAAUCUCCCGUCGCCGCCUAUACUCCUCAACCUCACUCUCAGACAUUGCCGAAACUGACGGCGACUCCACGUAGAAGUUCUUCUCAAACGGAGUCAACCCAUCCAAAUCCAAUUUCCGCUGUGGCGCCUCCGAAGAGCCCUCGUAAUCUCUUUUGAUUGACGAUGAUGAAGACGAACGAUAACUUGAGCCCCCACCAAACCCCGAAUCACUGAGAUAACACGAACCAUAAAAGAAAAAUGAUAAAUAAUUUCCAUUAAGAAAAAAUUCAGACUCACUUAUUAUUUAGUAGAUAACUAGAUAUAAUAGUUGUACGUAUGGAGAUAUGGAUGUAAAUUGAGGGUUAGGGUGGGGUUUAUUACGUUCGGCGGUCGCGAUAGGAGCCGGGGUCGGCGGAGCGACUGUCGUAGCGGCUCAUGAUUUGUGGGUUCUGCAAGCAACUCUGAUUGAGAUUACGGAAAGUGAUGUAAAUUUUUGAAGAAUGGUAGAGCAGUGCUAGCGUGCUACCGUGCAUAGGCGAAUGGGGGAAAAUUGAGGGUUCGAAGUGUGGGGUGGAUAUUUCAUGGUUGGAUUUUCGCCGCAGCAAAUAAAAUUUGGUUAAAAUUAAAAAAUUAUGAAUUUAAAAAAUAUUAAUGUUAAAAUGAAUUGUUAACUUUAAAUUUAAAAAUAUUAUAAAAUAAUGAGAUAAUUAUUGAUGAUUAUUUAGAAUUAUUUUUAUACAUAGAUAAAUCUUAUCUAAUUUGGAACAUCUGUUUUAUUUCAAUUAUAAUUCUUAUUUUGAACCCCGUAAAUAUGGGGCAUUGAUUUUUAAUAAUACAUACGAAUCUAUUGACUUAUAUUCUCUAUUCUCUUCUUCCCUCUUUUACAACAUGUUAUCAGCAUGAUUCUCUAAAAAUUAUAGCAAAUUAGUCUGAAGAUAGUCUAUGUCCAUAUCAAAUUGUACUCGCUAUUUUUUCCCUUGUCGCAUACGUGUAUAAUUAAUUUUAGCAGAAUCCCAAAAUUUUGAGAAUUUCUUAUAUCGUUUGCAUCCAAUUUUUGGAGCCAAAUACCAAGCAAAAUUAGAAUUCAUUAAGGGUGUGUUUGAUUAUAUUUAUUUUUCAUGGAAAAUAUCAGUUUUCCAUCUAAAUUUCUACUUGGAGUGUUUGAUUGCUAUUUUUUUCCAUGGAAAACAUUUUCCAACUUUUGAAAAUUUUUGCUCUUCAUUAAGGUGCUCUUUUUGGACAAAGUAGAAUGACGAAAACGAGAUGUUUGGGAUUCCAACUUAACAAAUUAAAAAAAAUGGGUAAUUGGCACAAAACGUGGACCUUUAAAGUUUAUUGUGGAAAACAUCCCCAUCUUUUAUAUUUUGACAUUUUUUUCCUUUAUUUCCCCCCUUUUUUUUGAAAAAACGUCAUUUUCACUUUUUUUUAAUGUAAAAUGACUAAAAUACCCGCCCUUUUAAAUAAAACCCAAAGAAAAGAAAAGAAAAGAAAAAUAAAGAACUCCUAAACGUUUAAAAAAGUGCAAGUAAAUACAAAUAAUUAUUAAAAGGCCUAAUAGCACAAAAUGUCCCUACAUUUUAAAUUGGUGAAAUUGACUUUUUCAGCAAUGAAACGUAAAAAUAGAAAUGAAAACGCAAAAAAAUUGAAAUGUAGGGACAUUUUCCGCAAGAAGUGUCAAACGUAUGGAUUUUUUUGCUAUUAGACCAUAUUAAAAUAUUAAAAAAAAAAUCCCUCUCUCUCUCUCUUCUCUUCUUCUUCUCUCUCACUCCCCUUCUACAAAUCUUCUACGAGCUUGCAUUGUCGAUUAGGUAGUCAAUCACAGGAGAAAGCAUUUGCCUUUAAACCAAAUAAAAAACAUUAGCAUAAAUUUGGUACAUUCCUCCACAUCCAUUAUAAGUAAUAUAAAGUAAAUUAAAUAAAUAAAUCACGGAAAAAUAAAUACUUCAUGCAAGCUCUUUAUAAUGCUCUGAUGUCACUCCCAGAUUCCAAAAGUCCAAACAUUUUCUGUGAUGUAUGAACUCCUACUCCCAGACCUAAAUUUUCAACGCAAACCGUCAAAACAAAAUUGAACAAUGGGACUGCAAUUCGAACAGCUUUCACAUUCUUAUAGCAAUUUCCCUUCGAACUAGUACAAUAUUGACCCUACAAGUCUCUUAACAACUAUUGAGAUUUUGGAACACCGAUUAGUGUUCAACCGACACCCUCUCCAUUCUUCUAAUUCAGUCAUUUUUCUAUUUAUUUGCACGUCAAAAUUCACCAACAUAGGUCCCUCUUCCAAUGAACUAAUUUCUAAAUACGAAUCCCAGAAAUAAAUUUGACGGAAAAAGCAAAGACGGGGAAAACGAAAACCAAACCCCAGAAGAGAUAUUGAUUCCUGAGUAGCCCAGUAAAAAUUGGAACGUUGGUCAAAUGCAACCAAUGUAACAAACACACGAGAUUCAACAUUCAAAGACGCCAUUUACCUACAAAUACAAGAAACAUAAACAUAUACACAGAAAGACAGCGAAACAAACCUCCAACGGUUAAAUUGACAGCCAACAGAAGUGGCCAGAUGAACUUAUAGCGGCGGGCAAAUGUAGCUUUAGGCGGCUAAGGUGGCGGCGGAGGAGGAGGAGGAGGAGUUAUCGACGACGCCAUCGAUGAUGGUGCAGAUGCCUGUUGUUGCUGAUAUCGCUUCAGCUGUGCUGUUAAUCGUUCCGUAAUGGAAAAACCAAAAAUUGAACAAAUAAUUUGAAAUUAAAAGCUACAAGAAAAGGGGAUUGAUUCUUUUUGUUCCGUAAAAGCUACUAAAAAUAUAUAUACCUUUCUUGGGUUUGUUAGUGUGAAGCUUCGGCUCUUCGCUCAUUGUUGAAAAACCUCUGCUAAUUUUUUUUCUUCUCUCUAGGUAUUGGGGACCGGAAAUUGCUUACAAAUUUUCAGAUGAAUCCAUCAAUGGAUAGUUUUCUUCAUUUCUUUUUCAUUUCAUAGGGUUCUUGGGAAAAAACUCUUGGGGGCGAUGAACAAGCAACUGAUUAGAAAGCUACUAAAAAUAUAUAUACCUUUCUUGGGUUUGUUAGUGUGAAGCUUCGGCUCUUCGCUCAUUGUUGAAAAACCUCUGCUAAUUUUUUUUCUUCUCUCUAGGUAUUGGGGACCGGAAAUUGCUUACAAAUUUUCAGAUGAAUCCAUCAAUGGAUAGUUUUCUUCAUUUCUUUUUCAUUUCAUAGGGUUCUUGGGAAAAAACUCUUGGGGGCGAUGAACAAGCAACUGAUUACGACGUCGCAUUUACCGGACGCAUUUCGUUAUAUUGCCUCAUUGGUCUCCUUUGCUGGACGGUGAUUGAUGCCUAGCCUUGGCGUUGUUACGUGCUUUGUAAAUUAAGACCAUGUUUGGCAACAAAUGUUUUUUUUUUUUUUUUUUUUGGUUGGUUAAAAAGAGGAAUAAUCUAUCAUCAACCUCUUUUUUAGCAUCAGAUCUCCCAACCUCUGACUUAACUGCAAAUCACAUCCUUCCAUCCAUUUUUAUAGUUAAGUCCACGUAAUGCAAAGAAUAGAAGAGGAAGAAAACAACUAAUAAAAAAGGUAAAAUUACAGUUGGAGACACCUUUUUUUUUUUUCCCCCUUCAAAUAUUACAAAUAUAAGCUGAAUAAGAAUUAACUGAAGGCUCUCAAACUUUCAUUUAACUUCUUAAAGAAAUAAGAAGCCCCAUGAAGUAUUAUCAUUUUAUCUCCUUGGUUCAUGCCAAAACACUCCCAUAUAAUGUAUUUUUAUGAAAUAUUGUUCAAUCUUAUUCAACGUGUCGUACCAAAUCAUUUUAAAAGAGGCUUUCUUGCGCUAAUCAACAUUUCAUAAAAGAGAACUGUCCAUUUAGUUGGAAGGCCGAAAAUUUUUGUUUCACCUUUCAGCUUCCUGAUCGAUCUUCCUCGACAACUAUCUGAUUUCACUGAAAGACGAAGGAAAAACGCCGAAAAAUGUGUAGAAAAUAUAGCACAAUCUCACAUGAAUGUCAAGGAAAGUAAUAACUUGAAAUGUGUUCACAUUCUACUUUAUAUUCAAAAUAGUCCUCAAAAAUAUUACAUGUGGGAGACUAGUAACAUUUCAAUACUAUUUUCCUUCCAAGCUUAACAGUACCAAGAGAUUGUUGGAGACUAGUAACAUUUCAAUACUAUUUUCCUUCCAAGCUUAACAGUACCAAGAGAUUGUUGAAGCUUCAAGUUUUUCUUCCCCCGUAUCAAGCACAUUAUCAGUUCCAAGAACGCCCACCUCCAAA
rnacentral:lncRNA from 1 species